rnacentral:lncRNA from 1 species
GGGGAACAUCGCUCAGAGAGUGCAGCUAUUAGCCAGUCGCCUAUCUUGAGGAGUCUUGCCAAAUGGAGGGCCUACUUUAAUUGCAUCAGAUAUACCCGCACUCGUAGACGUAUUAGACGUAUGAAAUUAUAUAGCCCCACAGGCCGACUUUGCACUAAGCCAACGCAUGGAGUGCCGCUGCCUCCUGCCUUCGCUACGUCAAGAAUUCUCGGGCGAUUAAUCUCCAGAAGUGUCUGGCCCACAGCGAAAGAUAACAUAGCCAUGAACGAUUAUGUGGCGAACCAAAACUCAGGCGAUUGUACAUAUUUUUUGGCUAAUUUUUAUGGAACGUCUGGGAGGCGUUAUAAACCUCCCGACCCAACUGAUGCCAUCUAAAUCCACCACAGGAAAGUUGAAAUAAAAUUGGCAAAAAUAUUUAUAAUCCUCUCUGGGCUAAUUGUGGGCCAUUAAAAAUUAAAUUCCAAAGUGCGUAAAUAAUUAUUAUUUAUGGAGUGUGCUUCAAUGGCCAGUAGCAGGGAAGAACUAUUUAAAUGGACCUCUCGAAGUGGGGAAAACUACUCUGCAGAUGCAGACUUCAGAUAUAGAAACGGGAAAUCGUAAAAAUUCAGUUCGAUGCGAUCAUAAAUUAAAGCAGGGAAACAAAUAUGGUACAACCAUAAAUCGAUUGGGCACUGCACUGACAAAACCCAUCAAAAAACAAAAAAAAAAGAUAUCGCUUGGUGCUCGUAUUUGUGCCACAAAGCAAGCGAAAUAUUUGUUAUCCCUGGGUAGUUAUCCAUGAGACUUAACGGCGCAAAAGGUGUGAAACUGUUUAACAAAGAGUUUGCUCAAUGGGCAGCUCAAAUAUUUGCAAGUAAUCGAAACAUAAAUUAGCAAUCAAUUAGGACAUGCCCACGGUCUACGGUCUGCUGGGGUUCCAGUGAUUUAUCAAACAAAACUGACGUCACAGCGCGACACUUCUGACGUCAAAAUGUCUCGUCAAAAGAAGUGCUAAAUGCAGGCAAAGUGGUACCAAAUGUAGACAUUUGUGCUGUUUCAGGUACC